rnacentral:rRNA from 1 species
UACGUAGGUGGCAAGCGUUGUUCGGAAUUACUGGGCGUAAAGGGCGCGUAGGCGGUCUUGUAAGUCUUGUGUGAAAUCCCUCGGCUUAACUGAGGAACUGCACGGGAUACUGCGAGACUUGAGAUCGGGAGAGGGAAGCGGAAUUCCGGGUGUAGCGGUGAAAUGCGUAGAUAUCCGGAGGAACACCGGUGGCGAAGGCGGCUUCCUGGACCGACACUGACGCUGAGGCGCGAAAGCUAGGGGAGCAAACGGG